GGUGCCAUGCAUGGGAGGGAUCCCAAUCCAGCCUUAGGAAAAGAAACCUUCCACGGGAGUCUUGGAGAUUGGCGACCGUCCUAAUGACUUA
rfam:Equus caballus chromosome 5, whole genome shotgun sequence.